CCGCCUGGUCCCGCCGACGCGCCUGGUUGCUGCCUGCCGCGGCGGGAGCGGCUCAACGAGAGCUUCGGGCAUUUAAGGACUUUGCUUCCUCCCGGGUCAAAGGUACUAACUAAUACCCCCUUGUUAAUUAACAUAACAUGAAUCAAUUGCACUGCAGUAUCAUGUUAAUGACCUUGUUGCAAUGCAAAUUAAACCGAUUUUAAUUUCCUUUGAGAAAAUCCUAAUCUCUCUGGUGUUCUCAUCUUUCACAAAGCCACGGCACGGGAAGGGAGAAGGAGACCACGCACGCACUCACGCUCCCUGCCCAGGCUUUUCUCCGGGGUAUUUGUUCGAAAUUUAGUUGACCGGUUGACAUUUUUUUUUGUGUGAUUUCGAAAAUUCAGAUGGCCAUUUUAGCGGAGAGGAGUCGGAUAUUUUAGAGAAACCUUCGGUUUAGGGCCCCUUUGAAUCAAAUGAAUGAAAAAAAAACAGAGAAAUAGAAAAAACAUAGGAUUCUCACAUGAAUGUAAGGGUAAAACAGAGGAUUGCAAAACACAGGAAAAAUAUAGGAAAGAUCGUUUGAUUGGAUCACAUGAAAAACACAGGAAUUUAAGGAGAGAUAAAGACUCAAAGGAUUUUUUACAUGAGGUUAUACCUCUUGCUAAAUUUUCUCUAAAACUUGUAUGGGAAGAGACAUUCCAUAGGAAUUUCAUAGGAUUUUAUAGGGUUCAUUCCUUUGAUUCAAAGGACUUUGUAGGAAAAAUUUCAAUAGGAAUAAAAUCCUCUUACGAAUUUUCUUUGAAUCAAAAGAGGCCUUAGUGGCCAUUUGAGCGAAGCCACCCAGUUUCGUGGCGUAAUACCAAAUUCCUUCUCAAGAGGGGAGGAAAGGAAAGAAAAAGGGAACGAAUAAAAUAUUAAGAAAGAGAAGGCACCCGGGCGGAGUCCCUUCGGUCCGUUAAAAUGUAUUGAUUUAUAAUUAUUACCGUGUUAAACAAAUUCAAAUGUAUCGAUUAAAAAAUAAACCAUUAAGCAUAUAUCCAUUAAAAUAUAUUGAUUUAUAAUUAUUACCGUGUGUAAUAAGUUCAAAUAUAUCAAUUACAAAAUUAAACAUUAAACGUAUAUCCAUUAAAAUAUAUUUAUUUAUAAUUAUUAGCGCGUUAAUAAAUUCAAAUAUAGCAAUUACAAAAUAAACCAUUAAACAUAUAUCCAUUAAAAUAUACUUAAUUAUAAUUAUUACUGCGUUAAAUAAUAUCAACUAUACCAAUUACAAAAUUAACCAUCAAACAUAUAUCCAUUAAAAUAUACCCAUUUCUAAUUAUUAUUGUGAUAAAUAUUAACAAAAAAUUUAUUCGUUCAAAACAUAUCCCUUAAUACAAAUGCAAGGUUAGUUAGAAGAUAUUAUUAAAAUAUAGGAGGGUGCGAUAUAGAUGACGUAAUAUAGAUGAUUUGUUGGAGUGAAAAGUGAUAUGGAUGAAAAUCUUUUUUGGAUGACCAUUCAUAUUGGGGAUGAGAUCCUCAAUUGUAUGUGAAUUUGGUAUAUCUCGUGAUCGUUGGAUCAAAACGGAUGGAUGAGAUCUAGCGCUUGCUAUAUUAAUGAACAGUGACUCAUAAGUACUAUUACUACAGUGUUUUGGUGCUAUAUUCAUGGUAUUAAAUUGCUGUGUGCCGCUCACAUGAACAAUGUUUUUUUACAGUAAUGCAGAGAAACCGAAUAUUUGGAUGAUCAAAUAUGGAGGAUAUCCUUGGGGACGCUCUUAAGGGGCGUCAAACGAAACGAGCAGUGCGCUACUUACUCUACUAGUCUACUGUUGUUGCCCACCCUGCAGACACACGUACUCCUACGCAGCUUUUCCCUUUCCACUUCUUCCCCCUUCCAUUCUCAUUCCCCACCCAUUCCUCCUUCCUCCACCGUUGCC
rnacentral:lncRNA from 1 species